UACGUAGGGUGCAAGCGUUAAUCGGAAUUACUGGGCGUAAAGCGCACGUAGGCGGCUUAGCAAGUCGGAAGUGAAAUCCCUCGGCUCAACCAAGGAAGUGCUUUCGAAACUGCUGAGCUUGAGUACUUAAGAGGAUCGCGGAAUUCCCGGUGUAGAGGUGAAAUUCGUAGAUAUCGGGAGGAACACCAGUGGCGAAGGCGGCGAUCUGGGAAGAUACUGACGCUGAGGUGCGAAGGCGUGGGGAGCAAACAGG
rnacentral:rRNA from 1 species